AUGAACGCUGGCGGCGUGCCUAAUACAUGCAAGUCGAGCGAACGGACGAGAAGCUUGCUUCUCUGAUGUUAGCGGCGGACGGGUGAGUAACACGUGGAUAACCUACCUAUAAGACUGGGAUAACUUCGGGAAACAGGAGCUAAUACCGGAUAAUAUUUUGAACCGCAUGGUUCAAAAGUGAAAGACGGUCUUGCUGUCACUUAUAGAUGGAUCCGCGCUGCAUUAGCUAGUUGGUAAGGUAACGGCUUACCAAGGCAACGAUGCAUAGCCGACCUGAGAGGGUGAUCGGCCACACUGGAACUGAGACACGGUCCAGACUCCUACGGGAGGCAGCAGUAGGGAAUCUUCCGCAAUGGGCGAAAGCCUGACGGAGCAACGCCGCGUGAGUGAUGAAGGUCUUCGGAUCGUAAAACUCUGUUAUUAGGGAAGAACAUAUGUGUAAGUAACUGUGCACAUCUUGACGGUACCUAAUCAGAAAGCCACGGCUAACUACGUG
rnacentral:rRNA from 1 species